UACGUAGGGGGCAAGCGUUGUCCGGAAUUAUUGGGCGUAAAGAGCGCGUAGGCGGUCCGAUAAGUCGGCUGUGAAAGUCAAGGGCUCAACCCUUGAAAGCCGGCCGAUACUGUCGGACUAGAGUCCGGAAGAGGCGAGUGGAAUUCCCGGUGUAGCGGUGAAAUGCGCAGAUAUCGGGAGGAACACCUAUUGCGAAGGCAGCUCGCUGGGACGUUACUGACGCUGAGACGCGAAAGCGUGGGGAGCAAACAGG
rnacentral:rRNA from 1 species